rnacentral:lncRNA from 1 species
UAUAAAUACUAUAUUAAGUUAACAUAAUGUUUAAUAUUUUUCAAAAAUUAAAAAAUAAACAACAAAAAGAAUAAUUAAUUUAAAAAUACAAGACUUUCAAACAAGUAUAACUAUAUAAAUCUAAAUUUAAACUCAUGAUUUUCAAAGUUUAGGUUAUAUACUAUUAAAAAUAUUCAAACUAACAUAUACUAUAUAUAAGUUGAUAUUAUAAAUCAUUGAGAAUGUUCACAUAUUAUUUUAAAACACCAAAAAUAUACCAAAUCGUUUUCAAUUUGGUAUUUCUAAAAAUGUUAAUAUUACGAAAUUUUUUA